rnacentral:rRNA from 1 species
CCAAUAGCGUAUAUUAAAGUUGUUGCAGUUAAAAAGCUCGUAGUUGAAUUUCGGGGUUCUACCGUUGGUCGGGCUUUGUCUGUACUGGCGUGUAGAAUUUCUACCUUCUGGGGAACCAUCAUGUUAUUAAUUUAACGUGGUGGGAAACCAGGACCUUUACCUUGAAAAAAUUAGAGUGUUCAAAGCAGGCUUAUGUCUGAAUACAUUAGCAUGGAAUAAUAAAAUAGGACGGUGGUCCUGUUUUGUUGGUUUCUGAAUCACCGUAAUGAUUAAUAGGGAUAGUUGGGGGCAUUAGUAUUCAAUUGUCAGAGGUGAAAUUCUUGGAUUUAUUGAAGACUAACUUCUGCGAAAGCAUUUGCCAAGGAUGUUUUCAUUAAUCAAGAAUGAAAGUUAGGGGAUCGAAGACGAUCAGAUACCGUCGUAGUCUUAACCAUAAACUAUGCCGACUAGGGAUCGGAUGAUGUUAAUUUUUUAAUGACUCAUUCGGCGCCUUACG